rnacentral:rRNA from 1 species
GACGUAGGGCGCGAGCGUUGUCCGGAUUUAUUGGGCGUAAGAGCUCGUAGGCGGUCUGUCGCGUCUGCUGUGAAAACUCAGGGCUUAACCCUGAGCUUGCAGUGGGUACGGGCAGACUAGAGUGCGGUAGGGGAGACUGGAAUUCCUGGUGUAGCGGUGAAAUGCGCAGAUAUCAGGAGGAACACCGGUGGCGAAGGCGGGUCUCUGGGCCGUAACUGACGCUGAGGAGCGAAAGCAUGGGGAGCGAACAGG